CAACCUAGAUUAGCGGCAGCAUGUGCUUGAGCAUGUCCUUACCUUUUUUGAGUGCUUUCCAUGAUAGCUUGGGAUGGACAGCACAAAGUAAAUCCCAUCCUACAGUUCAGUCUUUUGCAGAGAAGAAAAACUUAAUCUCAUGAAAAGAGGAAAGAUGACAAAGGGUCUUUGCAGAGGACGCUACCUUAGAAUUUCAGCAAUUAAAAAUAAUCAGCAGCAGGACCCCACCACCCCCAUGCAACAGAGGUUCAAAGAUGCUGCAUUCCUUGUGCUGUGCCACCAGCUCUGGCUGCCAGCGUGCCCUCUGAUGACUUUCUUUAAUCCUCUUUCUUGCAUAGAUGGGGACCAGAACCUAUGGAAACAACAACUGCAAGUGGAAAUCCAUGUGGAGAGAAGUACCUGCAUAUCCGUUCUAUUGAAAUGUUUCCAACAAAACCAAAAGGAUGUUGUGGCCAAAUGCCUGCAAAAAAUUGUUUCCAUAUGUGUGAUGUAAUCAGGUGUCUGUCAUCUGCCUCAUGAAACUGCAGUCUGCUGAGAUAUUCCUGCCUGCUGGUGGGAGAAGAAAGGGACUGAGUCAGUAAGAGGCAGCCACCUACACCUGUACUUAAGGGAGAAUCACUUAUAUCUUAGGAUAUCAACACCAGAUUUUCCAAACAAACAAACUGAUAGUUCACUUUCUUAUCUACACAUUUAGACGUGACAUUUCUCUGUAACUCACUUGCAGUGUUUUGUUUUGGGUAUUCAUUUCAUCACAUUGGUGUUAGAUUUAAGGGUUUUUUCAUAUGGAGGUACACAACAAAACUGUGAACUUGCAGAGAUUAUCAUUCACACAGUAUGAAACCACUGCAGAAGCAAGCAGAUAAAACAUCAUAAACAUUUCUGAACAAUACGCAGUUCAAUUCUCUGUCCUUAUGUUAACUGUGCCCUUAGCUGAAUGUCAGUCUUCCACUGGAGAAGCCAAAAAAAAUGUUACUGUUGUGCAUAUCUUUUUUGUGGUACUCUCUAGCUAGCUACAACCUCUGACUACCGAACCUACAAGUUAAGUACAUUAUGUUGUUGGAUGCAUCUGGCCCCAUGAAUUUACAAACCAAGAAUAUACUGUGUUAAAGCAAUCAAAAAAAUGCACUUUCUGCUGUGGGUGGGUUUUGCUGACUCACUUGGUUUGGUUGCUGUGAGUAAUGAUAGCACCUUAAGAACUUCAGAAACAGUAAACUAACAUUUCUCAUCACUUUCAUUUUUAUAGAAAUAAAUGUUUUAAGACCAGUAAAAUUAAAAUGUAA
rnacentral:lncRNA from 1 species